GGCCCAAUGGUCUAGUCGUAUGAUUCGCGCUUCGGGCUGAGCAAGAUGCGCGAGGUCCCGGGUUCAAUUCCCGGUUGGGCCC